rnacentral:rRNA from 1 species
AACGAACGCUGGCGGCAUGCCUAACACAUGCAAGUCGAGCGAGAUCUUCGGGUCUAGUGGCGCACGGGUGCGUAACGCGUGGGAAUCUGCCCUUUGGUUCGGAAUAACAGUUGGAAACGACUGCUAAUACCGGAUGAUGACGAAAGUCAAAAGAUUUAUCGCCAGAGGAUGAGCCCGCGUAGGAUUAGCUAGUUGGUGUGGUAAAGGCGCACCAAGGCGACGAUCCUUAGCUGGUCUGAGAGGAUGAUCAGUCACACUGGGACUGAAACACGGCCCAGACUCCUACGGGAGGCAGCAGUGGGGAAUAUUGGACAAUGGGCGAAAGCCUGAUCCAGCAAUGCCGCGUGAGUGAUGAAGGCCUUAGGGUUGUAAAGCUCUUUUACCCGGGAUGAUAAUGACAGUACCGGGAGAAUAAGCUCCGGCUAACUCCGUGCCAGCAGCCGCCGCGG